UAAAGCGUGCGCAGGCGGUUUGUAAGACUGUCGUGAAAUCCCCGGGCUCAACCUGGGAAUGGCGAUGGUGACUGCAAGGCUAGAGUUUGGCAGAGGGGGGUAGAAUUCCACGUGUAGCAGUGAAAUGCGUAGAUAUGUGGAGGAACACCGAUGGCGAAGGCAGCCCCCUGGGUCAAAACUGACGCUCAUGCACGAAAGCGUGGGGAGCAAACAGGAUUAGAUACCCCUGU
rnacentral:rRNA from 1 species